CCAUCUUUCAGGUCUUUUUGUAUUUGUCUAGCAGGUUUUCUGCUCAAGCAGAGAGCCUAU
rnacentral:snRNA from 1 species